AUUGAGCGCUGGCGGCAGGCCUAACACAUGCAAGUCGAGCGGCAGCGGAAAGUAGCUUGCUACUUUGCCGGCGAGCGGCGGACGGGUGAGUAAUGUCUGGGAAACUGCCUGAUGGAGGGGGAUAGCUACUGGAAACGGUAGCUAAUACCGCAUAAUGUCGCAAGACCAAAGAGGGGGACCUUCGGGCCUCUUGCCAUCAGAUGUGCCCAAAUGGGAUUAGCUAGUAGGUGGGGUAAUGGCUCACCUAGGCGACGAUCCCUAGCUGGUCUGAGAGGAUGACCAGCCACACUGGAACUGAGACACGGUCCAGACUCCUACGGGAGGCAGCAGUGGGGAAUAUUGCACAAUGGGCGCAAGCCUGAUGCAGCCAUGCCGCGUGUGUGAAGAAGGCCUUCGGGUUGUAAAGCACUUUCAGCGAGGAGGAAGGCAUUAAGGUUAAUAACCUUAGUGAUUGACGUUACUCGCAGAAGAAGCACCGGCUAACUCCGUGCCAGCAGCCGCGGUAA
rnacentral:rRNA from 1 species